rnacentral:rRNA from 1 species
GACGAACGCUGGCGGCGUGCUUAACACAUGCAAGUCGAACGGAAAGGCCCUGCUUUUGUGGGGUGCUCGAGUGGCGAACGGGUGAGUAACACGUGAGUAACCUGCCCUUGACUUUGGGAUAACUUCAGGAAACUGGGGCUAAUACCGGAUAGGAGCUCCUGCUGCAUGGUGGGGGUUGGAAAGUUUCGGCGGUUGGGGAUGGACUCGCGGCUUAUCAGCUUGUUGGUAGGGUAGUGGCUUACCAAGGCUUUGACGGGUAGCCGGCCUGAGAGGGUGACCGGCAACAUUGGGACUGAGAUACGGCCCAGACUCCUACGGGAGGCAGCAGUGGGGAAUAUUGCACAAUGGGCGGAAGCCUGAUGCAGCAACGCCGCGUGCGGGAUGACGGCCUUCGGGUUGUAAACCGCUUUCGCCUGUGACGAAGCGUGAGUGACGGUAAUGGGUAAAGAAGCACCGGCUAACUACGUG